rnacentral:piRNA from 1 species
GAAGUGAGAUGCUGUUCAGGUGGUC